UAAUUUUUGAUGUCAAUGAAAAACCUGUAUAUUGGGAAUCACAGAAGUACAGACAAACGCACAGAUAGACAUUCAAGACAGAAUCUAGUCAGCCCUGUAAGGCAUGAUGUUUAUUGGUUCUUGUUUGUUUCUGUACAUAAUUCAGUUUAGUCAAGACAUAACCUAGAGUUAUAUAGUAGAUACUUCAGGUAACAUUUUAUUAUAUAUAUACAUCUAAGUGCUGUUGAAGAGUUUUAGACAAGACAUACUUAGGCUAGUACAGAGUUAUACAGUGGAGCUAUACGGUAAAUACUAAAAUACAGGUAAUUCUAUCUCUAAUACCUGCCAAAGUGGUGUCUCCUAUAUACAUAUACAUGACAGCUUGAGCACACUCUGUGAAUAUUACAACAUUGUUUGCAUCAUAGUUGCAUUACAGUCACAAUCCACACUGGACUAUAACAAAGUUAGUUGCUAUGUUGGCUCAACUUUUUUACAUUUUCAUGAGAAGUGUAACCAUCACCAACAAGCCACUUGUGAGUAAAGCAGUGGAGGAAAUAAACACAUUCAAGGCUGGACCAUAACAAAGUAAGUCACUAUGUCCUCCCCAUUAAAUCUGUAUAAACAGUUCAUGUUAACAUCAUUAUGUUUUCUAUUACAGUAACUGUAGGUCUGUAACCACCACCUUUAACUUUUGGACAUGAUAUUUAGUAUUAGUAAAAAAAAAAGAUAUGUAGUUACUCCAAUUUUCUUCAAUCAAUGACUGUUUUGUAAAGGUGAGGUACAUACCUCCCAAAUUUUCUAAAGAUAUGUAUCAUUUUGGACCAUACAGGGUUCACGGGGCAGUAUAUCUGUAAGUCAUUGUCACCUUUCUUUUGUUUACUCUCAAGUAUCAAGCCAUUCAGAUUCUCCCCCAUUGUUUGUACACUUUCAUCCUGAUCCAUUUUCUGACAUUGUGUUUCCAUAGCAUUUCUAACUUGGUAAACAGUCUACCAUGGACUGGCUAGGCUGGCCUUGGUGCUGACCAGGUUUCCACUGUUGGGGUAAUCUUUCACACACGGUAGGAGUUAAACACAGUAGAUAUUAAAUUGGUCAUCCACGGGAUCUUACCAAAAGUCCCACUGCUUAUAACAUCUACCAGUUGCUUGAUAAGAUUAUCCCUUUGUAAGAAAGAUUCUCCUCCCCAGAGGCAAGCCUGGCCAAUCUACAGCGGACUGUAUACCAGGCAAGGUUGUAGCUAGCACCUGUCCUUCAGUCCUUUGAAGGAAUUUUGCAGCUGGGGACUGAAAAAAGUUUUCCCCAUUCUGUCCCCUGGGACAGGCAAAAAUUGAUAUGUAAAGAUAUAAAAAAAACUGAAACCAAUGUGUUCUUCACCAAAACAGACCUGAAAUUUGCACCUCAAAAUGCAGGAAAUAGUGCUUCAGAGGGUCUUGAUUAAAAAAAUUCUGGGACCCGUACCCCCUAGACAUGACGUGCAACAUCACGCCAUGCCUUCGUUGCUCAAUGGGGUUCCCAUUCAAAAUCAAGGGGACUGAAAAUGAUUUCAGGUUGGCUACAACCCUGAUGCCAAGUUAUAAAAUUUCUGGCACCUGAAGAGAUAUAUAUAUACAUCAAUUAGUUUCAAUAGGUAAAUCUUUUUGUGUACACCAAAUACUCCUGGUGCUACUAUAUUAUACAAUAUUUUUUCAGAGGAGGUAAUUUGUAUGGAAGCAUUCAGCUAUCUAUACAAAUAAUUUGACACUAUAUAGAUUCACGGGGAAGUAAUUGUACAUAGUUACAGAGAUGACAUCGUUAAUUGUAAAUUUCUUGUGUAAGUAUAAAUAAAUCAUUUAGUGUACUACAACAAAAUACCCUUUCAGUCACAAAAUACCUUUCUAGUCUUUUGUAGUAAUGUUAGCCAUUGGUUCAGAAAAUACAUGUCAAAAGUCUUGGAUUGUUAAUGCUGAUCUCAAAGCUCAGAUUUACAAUGUGUCAUCCAGAAUUCCAUGCUGUAGAAUUUGGACCCUUCAAUGGCCAGCAAGUUUCUUGACUUUGGGGAUUUUUUAAAAAGUCUUAACAAGAAAAUAAUGGAUUUUAUAGGUGCAGCCAUAUUGUUCCCUUUUUCAAUUUACCAUGUACAGUAGAAGCCGCUUAAUCGCACAACCUAUUUGCCAGUGCAUUUCGUGCAAUUAUCGAGCUGGUGCAAUAAUGGGAAGUUAUCUAGCUGGACCGCACCAGUUUGGGAUUUUGGGAUUCCGUGCAGUCAGUUAAGAGAAGUGUGCGUUAAUCCGUUGUGCAAUUAUCUGACUUCUACUGUAUUAUGUCUCCAGCUCUGUAUAUGCCAUAUCCAAUGGACAUUAGCUUAACUGUUCAUUGAGUCCACUUGAUAUAAUUACUCUUUUCAAUAAUAGCCCAACAUUUGAUAACUCAUAUGAAUUUUCAACAACCUGAGGGAUGUUUGGCACACUUCAAUAUCUGUGUCAUCACUGGCUGGAAAAUAUUUAUAUUCUUCAUUUCUCUAUUCUUGCAACAAAAUAUCACAUUACCUCAUGAUGGACCUCCAUUUCUCUUGUGAUCAUGUAGUUAUGUAACUGAUUAAUACUUUUGGUUCUGAUGUCAACCAGGACACUUACAGGUAGUCAUGGCAUUGGUCUUGGCCAAGAAACUCAAGACUAGGUUUCAAGGAAGACAAGAAGAUUCAUUUGCACCAUCUUGCCACAAAAUGUUGUCUUAGGCGUUCUCCUAGACACCAUGUAAUGAAUUAAUACUGUUCAUAAUGGCUUUACACAAUACUGUCUCUUCUUUUCUUUGCUUAAACAACAUUUGCAACAAUCGACUGCAUCUCUGUUUUAUACGUUGUCUGACCCUUGCCUCUUCCCUCAUGACCUCAAUGAUAAGCGGCCUGCAGGCCGAUUUGAGCUUUCAUGAAUAAACAACGGUUCAAACAAA